rnacentral:rRNA from 1 species
AUUGAACGCUGGCGGCAGGCCUAACACAUGCAAGUCGAGCGCGUGGCAGACGGGUGAGUCAUGUCUGGGACACUGCCUGAUGGAGGGGUAUCACUACUAGAAGGGGUAGCUAAUACCGCAUACCCUCGGAUACGCCCAUAUGGGAGUAGCUAGUGGGUGGGGUAAAGGCUCACAUAGGCGACGAUCCCGAGCUGGUCUGAGAGGAUGAACAGCCACACUGGAACUGAGACACGGUCCAGACUCCUACGGGAGGCAGCAGUGGGGAAUAUUGCACAAUGGGCGCAAGCCUGAUGCAGCCAUGCCGCGUGUAUGAAGAAGGCCUUCGGGUUGUAAAGUACUUUCAGCGGGGAGGCGUUACCCGCAGAAGAAGCACCGGCUAACUCCGUGCCAGCAGCCGCGGUAAUUC